rnacentral:rRNA from 1 species
CUUGCUUUCUUUGCCGGCGACCGGCGCACGGGUGAGUAACACGUAUCCAACCUGCCCUUUACUCGGGGAUAGCCUUUCGAAAGAAAGAUUAAUACCCGAUGGCAUAAUGAUUCCGCAUGGUUUCAUUAUUAAAGGAUUCCGGUAAAGGAUGGGGAUGCGUUCCAUUAGGUUGUUGGUGAGGUAGCGGCCCACCAAGCCUUCGAUGGAUAGGGGUUCUGAGAGGAAGGUCCCCCACAUUGGAACUGAGACACGGUCCAAACUCCUACGGGAGGCAGCAUG